UACUCCAGAUUUGAGCGAUCGUUUCUCGAUGGAACUCGAAGCGUCUUCUUGUUGUUCGUCUUGCAAAUGCAAGAUGUCAACAGCAGAGGAACAAACUGCAAUUUCGAGCAUUACAACAACAACAAUAGCCAACCACGAUAUUUUGUUGAAAUCCAUUUUCUUCUUUUUUCAAGUGCCUUCUGAUUUUUCUCUUCUGAUCUGAACUUCUCCAAG